UGGGGAAUAUUGGACAAUGGGCGCAAGCCUGAUCCAGCCAUACCGCGUGGGUGAAGAAGGCCUUCGGGUUGUAAAGCCCUUUUGUUGGGAAAGAAAAGCAGCUGGUUAAUACCCGGUUGUUCUGACGGUACCCAAAGAAUAAGCACCGGCUAACUUCGUGCCAGCAGCCGCGGUAAUACGAAGGGUGCAAGCGUUACUCGGAAUUACUGGGCGUAAAGCGUGCGUAGGUGGUUGUUUAAGUCUGUCGUGAAAGCCCUGGGCUCAACCUGGGAAUUGCGAUGGAAACUGGGCGACUAGAGUGUGGCAGAGGAUAGUGGAAUUCCUGGUGUAGCAGUGAAAUGCGGAGAGAUCAGGAGGAACAUCCGUGGCGAAGGCGACUGUAUGGGCCAACACUGACACUGAGGCACGAAAGCGGGGGGAGCAAACA
rnacentral:rRNA from 1 species